rnacentral:sRNA from 1 species
GCUGGGCAUGGUGGCGCGUGCCUGUAAUCCCAGCUACUCAGGAGGCUGAGGCAGGAGAAUUGCCUGAACCCAGGAGGCGAAGGUUGCGGUGAGCCGAGAUCCAUUGCACUCCAGCCUGGGUAACAAGAGCGAAACUCCAUCUCAAAAAAAAAAAAAGAGUCUUGCUCUGUGGCCCAGGCUGGAAUGCAAUGGUGUGGUCUCAGCUCACUGCAACCUCCACUUCUGGAGUUCAAUUGAUUCUCCUGCCUCA